ACAUAUUAUUUUCACUUGCAAUCACCUUUUUUAUUUCUGUUAGAUUUUUGGCGAUCAUAUUUAUAUUGUCCACAAAUCUUCAAAUAUGAUCCACGUGGCCAACGCAAUCGAGUUCGAGGCACAUGGCACACACUCGCAUCAAAUUUUACACAGGUUAUGUCACGAAGUCCCGCAACGCCACAUGGCCGAUAAUAAUACAAUCGGUCACAUCGCUUUCUAUUUCUAAAAAUGUCUCGCAACCAAAGCCGCAAAUUGCGUUCUCGCUAUGGAAAAAAAUUACUUCGGUUAUCCAUCCAUUUCCGUAUCGCGAGACACUUUUGGGACGCCCUGUAUAUAACUCCGCAUAGAAUGUAGACCGCAGGCGCGUACAUGUGACCGAGCCGACGCGGAGACAGGAAAACUACGGUGAGCGUAAAACUUCGUUGAAUAGUUUCUUUCUGUAACGUAGAAGCUUUCCUCGAAAGAUUGCACUUUUCCGCAGAUUAUCCGGCCUCGUGGUUCAGCAGUACAGUUGUGAGAACAGAAAGCGCAUAAUAAUUGCAUCAGUUUUUGCACGUUCGCGUUUCAUUGUAUGCGGUGAUAUUGCGUCGUAUACGGUUCCACACCGUCGAAUACGGGCUACGAAACUUUAUUCAACGAAUCACAAUCCUCCUCCGUUUCCAGAAGUGUCGAGUUUUGUGGUGAAACGGUGGUCGACUUCUGGUCGUACGAUUUGUUUUUCAAGAAACUAAUACGCGCAUGCUCGGGCACCACGCUGCGACGCGGCAAAGCGACAAAAAACAAUAAAAAGUCAACGUGAAAAAAUUUUUGAAAUUCUAUAGUGGACUGUUUACGCCGAUCGGCGUUAACAAUCUUUUAUCCAUUUAAACGGUUCAAUUAUUUCCAACGUUCGAAUUAUGGUUUAUUUUAGGUUAUCUUUCGACUUUAGGUUAAAAUGGGUAUAGCGAAAUGCAGAGCAGUUAACAUCUUUCUUCAAUCUGUUGACGCUAUUAAAAAGAAAAUAAAUAUCCAUAAAGAUCCAUGUUCUGGUAACAAUAAUAUCAAUUGUGAACCAAUGAAUCAUUCGGAUUAAUACAAUCUAAUCGUUCGUAUUGAGUGCAAUUCCAAGAAGCAACGCGUUUUACAACGCUGACACAGGUUUGUUACAGUCGACGGAAGCUACUUUGAGGGGCAUCGCAUCAAUAUUGAGGAGCGAAUAAAUGUUUCUUGAAACAAAUGCAUAUUCCGCGUAGUUUUUAAUCGCACCUCGUAUAUGCACGAUAAAAAAAUCCUCGUACUAUUUUUAGUCACACCGUGUAUAUUCAUGGUGAAAAUUUCCUCGAAAUCGGGUGACGUUGUUACGAACUGUGAACAAUUAAUGUUUGCGACCGAUAACUGUAAAAAGUCAAGUUAUCGAGACCUGACGAAACGUGUAUUGUUUAAAUUUUUAUUCCAAGCUCGGGUUAAUUAUGGUUAGAAAAUACAAUUUUCUUGGUCCUGUGUAGUCACUGCGAUCGGUUGAUCGGUCGAUCCUUAACAAAUUACAUUCCGUUUUUUAAAUGAUGCCCGAAGAUUAUCGUUAUUCUCAGAACAGUAUUUCGUUGAAAUAUCGAUUUUCGGUUUCACAACUUCGUAUCUGUAAAAUAGGUUAUGUAAGAAAUCACCAGGAAAGAAUGCGGAUUCGAUUGUGUUAGACAGUGGGCGCCCCAUUGGAUCCCUCUAUCGGUGUCGAUCACGCACAGCUUCGGCCGAGCUCGGCCGAAGCCGAGUCGAGAGAAGCGAGCAGCGGAGCGCAAUGGCGUAUACUUUCUCGGGCUGCUGGAAAUGUAAAUCGUUCCGGCGCUUCUACCGGGCAGUUUCUUCAUCAGAAAUGUCUACAGAAUCUGAUCCUGGAUAGAGUCUCCAUGCUGGACGAAGAACUUUUCACAUAAAUACAAAAAUAUUGCAGAGAAAUCACGCACUUCUUUCAAGUUUGACAUUAAUUUACAGAGCUAUUUAGGACCAAAAACAAUUAACAAAUCGCAUGCCACUGUAUUCGGGAAACUCUCCUCUAUCUUUUAAGACCGAUCAGAAUUUUCUAACGUUUCUACUGUUUCAUGCAAUAGGAUCAAUACCAUUCUCUGCUGACCAUUUUAAUAAACCAACCAAACGUCUCUCAUGAAGAUGCACGAAGAAUCGUGGACAAUAAAUUCGUGACCGUGAAGGAGGAAUUACAUACAUAGAAUCGUGACGAUGAUGAUGAGUUGACGAAUCGAGUCGACGAAAAUGAUUAGCAGGCUUAUAUUCUUCUCUGGGCACAGCGCAACGUCGUCGUCGUCGCCGUCGCCGCGGCCCCAAGAUUCGUGAUCUUCAGCUCAGCCAGUGACGUUGGAGAUUCUUGGGACUUGACCUUGCACACGCGACUGACCCAGAACAGGUAGACAACCGGUAAAACGAAUGUGUUCAUGUGUGUUACCGGCCACUUGCGCGUUCUUGACUCCGUUUCCCUGCGUGCCUCGCGUGCGGCGUCCUCAACGCGAAGUCAAGGAUUUAGAACACGGCCGCGGAUUGUCAGGAUUACCAAAAACGACCAUUCCGUCCUUCCGCUUAUUCAAAUCGACGCGUUGCGGUGACUCCGCGUACGAUUUAUGGAAAUUUUUCACGCUAAAUACGCUCUACGUCCGGCGCCGCUUCCUUUGCGCGCUCGAUAUUCUUCGAAUAUCAUUAUUUAAUAUGAUAAACAUUAGUUUUAAUAAGAAUUACUUUUAAUUAUAUUUUUUCAUAUUUAUGAUCACGAAAGAAUGGUCGAAUUUUCGGUGUUCAGAAUUCCUUCUUUAUACCGGGGAGCAAAAGUAACGGUUACUUGAUAAUUAUAUAGUAAUUAUAUAUAAUAUAUGU